UUGUUUAGUUUUAGGGGAAUUUAAAUUCGUUGGUCUGGUAGCUUCAGGUAUAGAGGCGGCGCUGAACGAAUGGAAAAGAGAGAGCGCGUAGGGGUGGGACGAGGCUGGACGGGUUAGAGGUUAGCUUGAGCCACCCCGGGAAAACACAGGUGGUCGCGACGCGGUAUCUAGGCGGCGGCACAACGUAGAAGAAGUGGCAAGGGCAAGGCGGAGUAGCGCGUGGACGACAGGGGUUGGGGCAGGCGCUAGAACCUCUAACUAAAAAACUUCGGGGAGUAUCGGCCGUCUACCUCCUCCUCCUCCGGUCCUCUAUGAUACUUCUAAUGCAUCAGUUAAGAGUACCUUAGACACUAUUUAGACAGCAAGAAAACGAUAGGGUAUUCCUUUUACUAGGUCUCUUCUUUCAAUGUAGAGAAGUGUGACCAUGGUAAAAACGUAGACCCCUCUUUAGUACAACAUAGUACUGCUGCAGUCGUAAAUGAAACUUAAACUUCUGAGUACAUACACUUCGCGUAAAAAAAAUAUUUUGUUUUUGCUUCCACUUUUUGAUAUACCACGUUUUUCUCAAACCUUAUCGGUAGUAAAUACGACCUCUACAGUUGUACCGUUUCCACCUUGUUCAAUGUAAAUCACUACUUUUACACCCAAGUGUACUCUCCCAAAAGUGAACACCAAUGUUGAGCUUAGUUUUUCCGUCCUCAAAGAAGAGACCUUCAUAACAUUCACCACAUCCGUACUUCGUGUUCGUAUACUUCGUGUUCCUAUACUUCGUAUUAGAAUGGAAUAAACACGUACCCACACGUUGACCGUGUCUGCCCGUAAACCCUAGACGACAAAAACUACUUUGUGUGGCAGAACAACUGAACAACCGUACUUACAAGACAUAUGUUUCAGGUCACCAGGUUUAAUACCAAGAGAUCGUCUCCCUCUACUCUAACUUAGACUAUAACCACCGUAACACAUACGGGACCUGGACUGAAGUUAUGUUGAACCAGACCGUAGUCGUCGAUUUUUUUACAGUUGUCGUCGAGCUCUGUUCUUUAACCAUCCCUACCAAUUGUACUUUCUUUUCUGAUAAGGCCUCUAGCAAGUUAAACAUUCCCUUUUAUAAAACCUCAACCUUCGACGUCCUCGUUCGUUUCGACCACCAUCAAGGUGCUUUCCUGCACGUCCACCACCUACUUGGGCGUCCCACUGAAGGCAGCUCCACACUUGUUAACCGUCGAGUGAUCUAGAACCACACGCGACCAAGACUACAACCGACAGAUCACAACAAAAACGAAACAACUUCAUCGAUGAUCUCCAUACAGUAGACUGUACACAUCACAAGUGCAUCCCUUCAGCAUACGAUCCGUACAAAAGCCAUCGACGAAACUAGUACAGUCGACUUGAAUUACGUUUCGAUACACUCCGCUACUUCUCCUUGAAACUAGUACAUAAACCAACUGCAACUGCGAACGAACAAAGAUGGAACCACUCCGUACAAUCCGGUUUGGACAACAGACUAUAACCUCCUACAGCUAGGACGCUCUCUUCAUGACCGGACGCCGUUCCCACCUUUAUAGACUCUUACCUAAAAAAAAACGAGAGUACAAGGUACCUCGUGCCUUAUAAGUUUGUAAGUUUUUUAGUUGGAAAAUUCAAAGUUGUUUGAGACUU
rnacentral:rRNA from 1 species